ensembl:lncRNA
GUGGGUAGGAGCGCCGCAUCCGGGACGCGGGGGCAGCUGCAGAGCACGGGGGAAGCGGGCUAGGCGGCACUGGCCAAACCGUGCAGAGACGCCGCGAAGCAGAGAGGGUGGGAGCGAGGGCGAGGGGGGAGGGGAACAAAGGAGAAGCUGAGUUUUCUGGGGCCGAUUCUGGGCAGCCGAGAGCACUUUCGGACGGGGCAGCGCUGAGCCCAAGAAGGGUUGGCAGUGGCUGCCUGUUGGGAACGGGAGUAGAGUGAAAAGUGGGUCGGAGGAACCGCCUGGGGCCGAAGAUAAAGACUUGGGGAAAUCGGGGCCUCGCCAAGGUCAGAGGGGUGCUUCCAGAGCCACGUUUGUGCAUAAAACAUUCGCCCGCUUCAGGUUUGCCAAUCUGGGCCCCGAGUUUUACAUUCCUGGACCCCCUUCGGGUUUGGAAGCUCUUUGCAGAAAAACAUUUGGAUUUAUUUUGAACCUUUACUUAAAAAGUAACUUCAUAAAGGAGUGGCCUGGCCCCCUACCUCUCCAGAGGCGAGGGAGACUUUUCCAAUUGCCCUGGUCCCCACUCUAAACUGCCAAGACAGGCUCCCAGAUCCGCCAGGGUGAGAGAGAGAGAGAGAGAGAGAGAGAGAGAGAGAGAGAGAGAGAGAGAGAGCGCUUGAAAGGGAAGGGAUGAAAGGCAAGGAAGGCGGCUUGGCACCUGGAUUCCGAAAGGAUUUCUAGGCUCCACCCAUCCCAGCCCCCGUGGCCCACUGAACUGUGGAUCAUGGCGUGUUCCUGUGGGCGAAACGCGAGAAAAUCAGAAGGUUUCCACUUCCUCUUUACUGCUCGAGGAAUCUCACUUCCCAGGCUUCUCCCCAAGAAGAGCCUGGGCAUGAGAGGUCCACUGAGAAGGCCGGAAGCCCCGAGUUCCAACGCAACCCUAGGCGACCCGGGUUAGCCGGCGACCCGGGUUAGCCGCCGGCCCGGGUCGGAGCCGGCUCCAGCGGACGGACGGAACGGAGUACCGGGAGGAAGAAGUGAGCUCACCGGGCAAGGAAAGCAGGAGGCUCGGCCUGGCCGCCGCGGCCCUGGGCGCCGAGCUCUGAGGCGCAAAACCUGGAGGAGAAGCUGUGCGCCCAGGUCCUCCGCGGCCGCCCUCCGAAGAGGCCGCCCAGCCCGACUCCAGCCAUUCUCACAGCUCCCUCAGAAGGGGAGCGCCAGGCGCGACCUGCAGGUUCCGGCCUGGAAGACUGAGGCUGGAGUCCCAGGGUGCGCGCUGGCUGCGUUCUGGCCGAGGCGGCCUUCGAGUCGCCAGGCUUCCCAUCCUCCCUCCGCGUACGCGUUUCUUUCUGAGCCUCUCGCACCCGUGCAUGCUCUCUCUCUCUCUCUCUCUCUCUCUCUCUCUCUCUCUCUCUCUCUCUCUCUCUGGCUCUGGAAAAAACCAGGUCCUGCACCUGUAAUUUGCGAUUAGAAGUUUAUUUCCAUGUGAAUGCCAGUGCCCGAAGUUUUUGAAUCCUUCUCUACAGGAAAGGUAGAAUAACGUGCUGCGCAAUCUGUUUUCCAACCUCGCGCCCUCUACACAACUGCGACAUCACCAGGGUGCUCCGACGCAGUUCGGCCUACAGAAAUGUAUAGAGAGGGCUGCGAUUUCACCUCGGCACCUGGCCCUGUAAGCGGAAAGUUUGGGAGUGUAGGACAAGCAUUUCCAAACUGACUUUGGGCUGAACGAAUGCCAGGGUGCCUGUCGCCUGGGGAGGAUCCGCACCGUUGGUUCUCCGAAGCAGUGCUCCGGCCGACCGGCUCUGCCGCGGAACAGUCACUCGGCGGCCGAAACACGGGUUCAAGU